UUCCGGUUGAUCCUGCGGAGGGGACCCCUAUCGGGCUCGGACUAAGUCAUGCAAGUCUGCCGAAGGCCCCUGCCUUCGGCGGCGAACGGCUCCGUAAUACGCGGUCAACCUACCCUGGGGAGGGGGAUAUCCUCUGGAAACUGAGGUUAAUCCCCCAUAGGGACGAAGUGCUGAGAUGCCUUUGUCCCGAAAGUAGGCAGAGGGGUUAUGGCUCUGCCAAGGCCCCAGGAUGGGACCGCGGCCCAUCAGGUAGUAGGUGGGGUAACGGCCCACCUAGCCGAAGACGGGUACGGGCGGUGAGAGCCGGAGCCCGGAGAUGGCCACUGAGACAAGGGGCCAGGCCCUACGGGGCGCAGCAGACGCGAAAACUCCGCAAUGCGGGAAACCGCGACGGGGCGAGCCCGAGUGCCUCCCUAAUAGGGAGGCUGUCUCCGAGCCUAAACAGCUCGGGAUAGGAAGGGGAGGGUAAGGCUGGUGCCAGCCGCCGCGGUAAAACCAGCUCCCCGAGGGGUUCCCACGCAUACUGGGCCUAAAGCGUCCGUAGCCGGCCCCGUAAGUCCUCGGUUAAAUCCACUGGAAGACCAGUGGGCUGCCGGGGAUACUGCGGGGCUAGGGACCGGGAGGGGCCGAGGGUAUUCCCGGGGGAGGGGUAAAAUCCUCUGAUCCCGGGAGGACCACCAGUGGCGAAGGCGGCCGCCCAGAACACGCCCGACGGUGAGGGGCGAAAGCUGGGGGAGCAAACGGGAUUAGAUACCCCGGUAGUCCCAGCCGUAAACGAUGCGGGCUAGGUGUCGGGUGGGCUACGGGCUCACCCGGUGCCGAAGGGAAACCAUUAAGCCCGCCGCCUGGGGAGUACGGCCGCAAGGCUGAAACUUAAAGGAAUUGGCGGGGGAGCACCACAAGGGGUGGACGUUGCGGCUUAAUUGGAGCAACGCCGGAAAU
rnacentral:rRNA from 1 species